rnacentral:misc_RNA from 1 species
UUUCCGUAGGUGAACCUGCGGAAGGAUCAUUAUUGUAUAACCGAGGUGCGAGGGCUGUCGCUGACCCGAAAGGUCGUGCACGCCCGAGUGCCCUCACACACAUCCAUCUCACCCCUAUGUGCACCACCGCGUGGGUCCCCCUUUGGCUUGUUCGGAGGGGGGCUUACGUUUUCACACAAACUUUGUAUCCAGUGUAGAAUGUAUUUUUUGUUUUUGCGAUCACGCAAUCAAUACAACUUUCAACAACGGAUCUCUUGGCUCUC